rnacentral:rRNA from 1 species
ACGCUGACAGAAUGCUUAACACAUGCAAGUCUUUGGCGAAGUUGUGCUUGCACAGCCUAGCCAAGGCGGACGGGUGAGUAACGCGUAAGGAACUUGCCUUGCAGUCAGGGAUAACAGACGGAAACGACUGAUAAGACCUGUAAAGUCAGGCGGACUCAUGUCCAGCCUGAUGAAAGGAGAUGCUGCAGGAGAGCCUUGCGUCCUAUUAGCUUGUUGGUGGGGUAACGGCCCACCAAGGCGAUGAUAGGUAGCCGGCCUGAGAGGGUGGACGGCCACAAGGGGACUGAGAUACGGCCCUUACUCCUACGGGAGGCAGCAGUGGGGAAUAUUGGACAAUGGGGGCAACCCUGAUCCAGCAAUUCUGUGUGCACGAUGAAGGUUUUCGGAUUGUAAAGUGCUUUCAGCAGGGAAGAAAAAAAUGACGGUACCUGCAGAAGAAGCGACGGCUAAAUACGUGCCAGCAGCCGCGGUAAUACGUAUGUCGCAAGCGUUAUCCGGAAUUAUUGGGCAUAAAGGGCAUCUAGGCGGCCAGAUAAGUCUGGGGUGAAAACUUGCGGCUCAACCGCAAGCCUGCCCUGGAAACUAUGUGGCUAGAGUACUGGAGAGGUGGACGGAACUGCACGAGUAGAGGUGAAAUUCGUAGAUAUGUGCAGGAAUGCCGAUGAUGAAGAUAGUUCACUGGACGGUAACUGACGCUGAAGUGCGAGAGCUAGGGGAGCAAACAGGAUUAGAUACCCUGGUAGUCCUAGCUGUAAACGAUGAUUACUGGGUGUGGGCAUGAAGAGUGUCCGUGCCGAAGCUAAUGCGAUAAGUAAUCCGCCUGGGGAGUACGGCCGCAAGGCUGAAACUCAAAGGAAUUGACGGGGACCCGCACAAGCGGUGGAGCAUGUGGUUUAAUUCGACGC